rnacentral:rRNA from 1 species
GGACGAGAAGCUUGCUUCUCUGAUGUUAGCGGCGGACGGGUGAGUAACACGUGGAUAACCUACCUAUAAGACUGGGAUAACUUCGGGAAACCGGAGCUAAUACCGGACAAUAUUUUGAACCGCAUGGUUCAAAAGUGAAAGACGGUCUUGCUGUCACUUAUAGAUGGAUCCGCGCUGCAUUAGCUAGUUGGUAAGGUAACGGCUUACCAAGGCAACGAUGCAUAGCCGACCUGAGAGGGUGAUCGGCCACACUGGAACUGAGACACGGUCCAGACUCCUACGGGAGGCAGCAGUAGGGAAUCUUCCGCAAUGGGCGAAAGCCUGACGGAGCAACGCCGCGUGAGUGAUGAAGGUCUUCGGAUCGUAAAACUCUGUUAUUAGGGAAGAACAUAUGUGUAAGUAACUGUGCACAUCUUGACGGUACCUAAUCAGAAAGCCACGGCUAACUACGUGCCAGCAGCCGCGGUAAUACGUAGGUGGCAAGCGUUAUCCGGAAUUAUUGGGCGUAAAGCGCGCGUAGGCGGUUUUUUAAGUCUGAUGUGAAAGCCCACGGCUCAACCGUGGAGGGUCAUUGGAAACUGGAAAACUUGAGUGCAGAAGAGGAAAGUGGAAUUCCAUGUGUAGCGGUGAAAUGCGCAGAGAUAUGGAGGAA